GUAAAGGAGGAGACUAUAUUUAAAAGAAGAAAAACUACCACAACAAGAGGACAUAGUCUUAAAUUAGAGGGACAAAGGUUUAAAAAUAAUAUCAGGAAGUAUUACUUUACUGAGAGGGUAGUGGAUGCAUGGAAUAGCCUUCCAGCUGAAGUAGUAGAGGUUAACACAGUAAAGGAGUUUAAGCAUGCGUGGGAUAGGCAUAAGGCUAUCCUAACUAUAAGAUAAGACUAGGGACUAAUGAAAGUAUUUAGAAAAUUGGGCAGACUAGAUGGGCCGAAUGGUUCUUAUCUGCCGUCACAUUCUAUGUUUCUAUGUAUAGGGGAUGUAGUGUGUAUGUGUGUAGGUUAUGUAGUGUGUGUGUGUGUGUGUGUGUGUGUUAUGCAAUAUGUGUGUGUUUAAAGGGGAUGUAGUGUGUAUGUGUGUAGGAAACAGUGUGUGUAUAGGGGAUGUAGUGUGUAUGUGUUUAGGGAAUAUAGUGUGUGUAUAGGGAGUUUAGUGUGUUUGGGUGUAAAUUACGUAGUGUAUAUGUAUAAGGUGCAUAGUGUAUCUGUAUGUUUUGUAGUGUUUGUGAGUUAUCUAGUGUGUGUGUGUGUGUGUGUGUGUGUGUAGAGAACAUAGUGUGUUUAUAGGGGAUGUUGUGUGUGUGAGUAGAUUAUGUAGUGUGUGUGUAGGGGAUGUUGUGUGUGUGUGUGGAUUAUGUAGUGUGUGUUUGUGGAUUAUGUAGUGUGUGUGUGUGUGUGUGUGAGUGAGUAGAUUAUGUAGUGUGUGUAUGGGAGAUGUUGUGUGUGAGUAGAUUAUGUAGUGUGUGUAUGGGAGAUGUUGUGUGUGAGUAGAUUAUGUAGUGUGUGAGUAGAUUAUGUAGUGUGUGUGUGUGUGUGAGUAGAUUAUGUAGUGUGUGAGUGUGAGUAGAUUUUGUAGUGUGUGUAGGUAACACACACUCCAUAGUGGUGAUUUGUGGGUAGGAUGGGGUGACAUAAGGCUUUAAAUAAAGAGGUGGGAGAGCAAUUUCAUAUUUUGUGUUCUUAAAUUAAUUCAUGUUUGUUCCCCCUCUCUCUUGCAUACCUUUGGGCAGGGAUGGGGGAAUACUGAUGACAUGGUGGUCCAGCGGUCUUUGCCAGCUCUUGAAGUUCUGCACCUUGCAGAACCUUGCAGAACAGGAGCCAUUUUUUUCCUCGCAAGCUCUGCGUUGAUAGUAUGAGAGCAUUGCCGUGGUAACACCGCGGCAACACUCCGAAUGCCGAGCUCGCGAGAGGAGGGCAGAAUCAGAGCACUCGCUCCUCCCCAUCAUGCACACAGCGGGCCGGUGAGGGAGGUCCUCAAUCUCCUCACUGGCCAAUAAUAAAGCAGAGCUUACUCUCUAAGGGUCGGCCGGCCGGGGCACAAUCUUUCACCCACCAGGGCACUCUGAGGUAGGGCAGGACCUUGUUGUGCGAGCUGUGUCUGUUGCCCGGUGCCCCGUUGGCAUGGCGCCCUGUGCGGCCGCACAGCUCGCACACCCCUAAGGCCGGUCCUGCCCUUACACCUAUAGGGAUUUGAGAAUGCAUUUCCAACAAUGAGAGCGACAUUGUCACCAUCUGGGAACCUUGCAGAAUUUGCAAAUACCCCCAACAGUGAUAGUGAUGUUGGAGGUCCAGUGAGUUUCUCCGCCGUGUCCUCUUCAGCACGUGGACUGGUGAUGGCGGUGGGGAUUGACACUUCUAGACAGUGGUAGCUCCGCCCAGUUGUCUAGAAGUGUGAGGCAUUGAAAAUAUACAAAGAUAAAGUACUCCCUAUUUUUUUCUCAGUAUAUCUCUUGACUGGGUUGGAAUUUCAGUAAAAUUCCAACACAGUCAAAAUCUAUCUUUAUGGUUACUCAUGUUUUGGGGUGGAGAGGUGACAGUGCCACUGUAAGCAAUACCUGAAAAAUACUUCUAACUGUUAGUGCAUGAGCAGAAAGAACACCACAGACUUCUAGUCUGACCUAAUGGUGUGCACAAGCAAGAUUAAUGAUGCUUCAUUCAUCAAUUAGACAAACUAAAGGACAAAAAAGCACUUUAAGUGAAGUAAAACAGCAAAAUAGUCAAGAUAACCGAUUCACAUAUGCAGAACACCUGAAACACACUGCAAUGUCCAUGUAAGACAUAUGUUAAUUAUAUACCUGUCCUCUAUUAGCAUUAUCAUUGCACUUGACUGUCCAUUACUUUCCAGUCUGUCAUGUAAUGGAAAAGUCUGUGAAGGAGCCAUUUUUUUUCCUGUUAACUUGUAUGCCUACCAAGCUCACCAUUGUGAUGGUAACAACUAAAUCAUAAGUUAGACCUGAUUUUAAGACUUUUUCUUUUACCGGCAGUAAAAUGGUGUGUGAAAUUUGCAUUGUAUCAAAACUAAACUGUUGCUCGAUACCAGCCGCAAACCAUAAAACUUUGUUUAUCAGUUACUGACGCUCGACUGUUAUAGAGAGUAAUGAAGAGUUUUUUUCUGCUUGUCUCUUUCUGCCUAAAUUAUGCAGUUCAUCAGUCAAUUUACCACAAUCAACUGUUUUAGGAAUAAGCCUUUAAAAAGCACCUUAUGCCUUGGUAUUCAGGAAUAAGAAAUUUUGUUUACACGUUGUGCUAGCCAACCUGGCUUUCCUGUCUAGACGUUGAACGUUCCCCAUACAGAUGCAUUGAUUCAAUGCAUUUAUAUGAGGAGAUGCAUGGCGUUUUGCUGUAAUGGAAAAGCGUUGGAUUGGCUGAGAUCAUCAAGAUUGAUGAAGUCAGCCAUAGAGGUGGAGCUAGGCAAGGCAGGACUAACGUGGCAGUGGAGAAACAACUCUAUUUAGAAUGCAUAGUUUAUAUACGGUAUAAAGUGGAGUUUAUCAACCAAAUAAGUAAUUCUUACUGCUGUGUAAAAAGCCUAAACUUGUUUUGUUGUUCUUAUUAGAAAGCCUAUACAACCAAUUCAGCACUAUAGAGUCAGGAAUAGAGUUGGGAAUUCAUGAAUUCAAGUCUUUGUAAAUAUGUCAUUAUCCUAUCUUUCAAGACUUUUUAUAAUCCAUAAGUUUUUAUACACUCUGCACUGCCCACAAAUUACACAGAGGCACACUAGAUUUAGUAGGGUGCUUCUUCAGUGUGAGCAGUGUGACUUCACAUGCACAAUGUAAACCUAAAGAUGAUCUUGUUCCUCACUCUACGUUCUCUUAAAAUAGUAUUCCGUAGAUGUAAGCAUGUUACUGUCAAAUGCCAUUAAAAGCACUGCCAAAAAAAAUUGGUGCUAUAAAUGAAAAUAUUUGCAACAUUUCAUGCAACAAUUUAACCAUAUUCACUGCUUGUGUAUAUAUACAGUAAAAAUUUUUACAUCUGAGAAUAUAUAUGUAUAUUUUUUUGCUUGAAAACUUUUAUCUGGCACAUGCGCCUUAAAAGUGAUUGCAAUAAAUAUAUUUUGGAAUAAAACAAAGUGGAAACUAUACUUCUGAAUUCUUUAGUUUCUUCUUUUUUUUCUUUGCUCUACAUGCAAAGAUUGAGUACACCCCUAGCUCCAAAAUUCUUACUGUGUAAUGUCUUAUAUGUUGCAUAUAUGGCCUCAUAUGAAAUGUAUCAUAUUUUAUAUUGUAGUUAAACAAAGUAUGUCAGAUUGUGUUUGUAAUUUCCAGGUAAUUGUAUAUGAUUUGCACCCUCCCUCAGUCCCCAAAAAAAAAUAAACAGGGGCCUGGUAGUCCUUUAAGUGCCAACCGGGCUUUGUAAUAUCAGCCAACAGGGAGGAAGUGACAGAGCUGCCUG
rnacentral:lncRNA from 1 species